AUUGAACGCUGGCGGAAUGCUUUACACAUGCAAGUCGAGCGGCAGCGCGGGGCAACCUGGCGGCGAGCGGCGAACGGGUGAGUAACAUAUCGGAACGUACCCCGUCGUGGGGGAUAACUACCCGAAAGGGUGGCUAAUACCGCAUACGACCUGAGGGUGAAAGGGGGGGAUCGCAAGACCUCUCGCGAUGGGAGCGGCCGAUAUCGGAUUAGCUUGUUGGUGAGGUAAAGGCUCACCAAGGCGACGAUCCGUAGCUGGUCUGAGAGGACGACCAGCCACACUGGAACUGAGACACGGUCCAGACUCCUACGGGAGGCAGCAGUGGGGAAUUUUGGACAAUGGGGGCAACCCUGAUCCAGCCAUUCCGCGUGAGUGAAGAAGGCCUUCGGGUUGUAAAGCUCCUUCGGCAGGAACGAAACGGCAGGCUCUAACAUAGCCUGUCAAUGACGGUACCUGAAGAAGAAGCACCGGCUAACUACGUGCCAGCCGCCGCCGUAAUAC
rnacentral:rRNA from 1 species